rnacentral:misc_RNA from 1 species
UUCCCAAUCUUUGCCGCUGGAUGUAUAUCAAUAGCAAAAACAUCAGAGAUUCGAGAUUGUAAAGCUAGUGCCAGUGGCCUACGGGAUUGAGUCCACAACUUGUGAGCAACUCGAUGAGCCUGGCAAGCCAAGUAUCCUUUGUAAUUGAGAAGGCAGUGCGAGAACGAUAUGCAAGCAGGGUCCCGGACGCGGGCGGCGCGAAGAUCAGCGA